AACCCGUCACAACGGCUUCCUGACGUGGCGGGAUAAUCUCAAUGGAGCA
rfam:Pontibaca methylaminivorans strain DSM 21219 genome assembly, contig: Ga0104525_11